rnacentral:rRNA from 1 species
CCUACGGGUGGCAGCAGUGGGGAAUAUUGGACAAUGGGCGAAAGCCUGAUCCAGCCAUGCCGCGUGUGUGAAGAAGGCCUUCGGGUUGUAAAGCACUUUCAGUGGGGAAGAAAGCCUUGGGGCUAAUACCCUCGAGGAAGGACAUCACCCACAGAAGAAGCACCGGCUAACUCCGUGCCAGCAGCCGCGGUAAUACGGAGGGGUGCGAGCGUUAAUCGGAAUUACUGGGCGUAAAGCGCGCGUAGGCGGUCUGAUAAGCCGGUUGUGAAAGCCCCGGGCUCAACCUGGGAACGGCAUCCGGAACUGUCAGGCUAGAGUGCAGGAGAGGAAGGUAGAAUUCCCGGUGUAGCGGUGAAAUGCGUAGAGAUCGGGAGGAAUACCAGUGGCGAAGGCGGCCUUCUGGGCUGACACUGACGCUGAGGUGCGAAAGCGUGGGUAGCAAACAGGAUUAGAUACCCUAGUAGUC